ensembl:lncRNA
GCCAGUGUCACCAAAGUCAAAGUCCUCAAGGUCCAGAGGCCGAAGGUCUCCGAGGCCAGGGACUGGGACAACAGGCAAAAGUCCAGUUUCCGGAAGACCACAGGAAGAAGGCGGGAGCUGCACACCUGGGCCCUCGUGGUGGGAGAGGUGAGCGAACAUGGGGAUGAACCAAAGACAGGACACUGUGCUGCCUGGGCUGAGAGCAGAGCAGGAGCAAAGGAGUCUGGCUGUGCUGGGAGAGGCAGGAAACUUUCGGGCCUGCCCCUUCCUGGGGAGCCGAGCAAAGCAGACUACCAGUGACAGCCUGGCUCGGGAUCACAACUUCAGGAGGGCACACACAGAUUUGAAGGCUACACUGCCCACAAGUUGCCUUCAGCUGCAGUAUGGAAGACACAUCAGAAAGCGUAGGAGAGACCAUUGGCAGCUCUUACAGCCUGACCCCUCCAGAAUGGACACAGGAGAAAGCCUGAAUGACCUGUUCGAGACCCCCAGCAAUGCAGGAUGUUCUGGGCUUCACUGGAGUUCUGGGGGGAGUGCUGACUAUAUCUGGAAGGAUCUUAUAUAUAACAGUUAUGAGACCAUCUGAGUCUCAAGCAAUGCCAACCUGAUGAGUGUCACCUUCUUGAGAACAUCAUGGAAACAGAAGUCAGCACACAUCAGCAUAGGUGGGGAGUUCAGUAACACAAACUUCAGAAAGGACCCACGUGCACCUUGUAAAACCUCUUCUGAUUCGCCAGACACUGCCUACGACAGAUCCCAUCCUGUCAGUCGUCAAAGGGAGCCCAUGAGAUAUGCAAAACGACCUACAGUACUGCUCAUCAAAUGCAACCUCAUCUCUCAACUAGAUAGACACCAGAGUCAACAGUGCUCUAUUAACCCUGGGAGUGGCAGAAUCGCUAAUGUAUAAUCCGGAAAAGAGCAACACUGAUUUGAAGGAUGUUCAUUGAUCCGCUGUGCUACGAAAGAUGAACCUUGUUCUGUCGAUCCUUUCUCAUCAAUGAAACCUUGUCCCUCAAUUACUUUCAUGCAAAGACCAAAUGUUAGGUGAUUUUUACUAAAUCCUUUCUAUGAAUGUCAAAAUACUAUUCUUUUACAAACGCAGUAGACACUAGGAUUUUUAAUUUACCUAACACAAUUGUCAGUUGGGUCAUGAGAAUUACAGAAUAGCACCAUGAAACAGAUGUAACACCCUUGGUUACCUCCUGUACCUCAAACUCAGUAACAUCAUAAGAACUUAAAGAGUCUCAGAAUGAGAAGACCAAGGAAAACCCAUUGCUCUUCGGGCACCCAUUACCUUUGGCAAUGGCAUAGGGGACUUAGCGGAGUCCAAAGGGUCAAAGAAGCAGUUCCCUGGCCUCAGCUCUGCAGAAAUAAAAGACACAUACCCAUGAAAGGGUGAGGAGUUAAAAGGAGAGCGAGCACGUUAGGUUGAGGGGGCCAAACAAUGUCUCAGAGUGGGCAUCUGAGCUGACUUAAAGGAAUUCAAUGGCCAAGCAAGCAGAAAAACAUUCUGGGAAGAAAUCAAAGUUCAAAACUGCAAGGUGUGUGGUGAAACAACUAAAUAUCCACAUGGAAAAAAAGAAGGUGGCUGGGUGAGAAGUGCUUCCUGAGUCCCAGUUAUUUGGAGGCUGAAGCAGGAGUAUCAUUUGAGGUCAAGAGUACAAGACCACCCUACAUAACACAGCAAGUCCAUGCCUCCAAAAGAAAAAGAAAAAAGACCACCAACAAAAGAAUAAUUUGGACUCCUUCCUCACACCGUACACAAAAAGUAACUCAAAAUGAACAAAGCUUGUAAACAUAAGAUGAGCUAAACCCAUAAAACUCUUAGACCAAAAUAUAGGGGUAAAUCUUCAUCAAUUUGGAUUUUGCAACAGAAACAGAUGCAACAAAAAAUAAAUUGGACUUCACUGAAAUUAGAAACUUGUGCUUCGAAGGUCAGCAUUAAAAAAGUGAAGUGACAAUUCACAACAGGAGAGACAGUACUGCAACUUCUAUAACGAAUGACAGGCUUUUCUCUAGAUUACAUGAAGAACUCUUACAAAUCAAUAAAAACAAAAAAAAUCUAACUUAAAGGAUCUGAAUAAAUAUUUCUCAAAGGAAGAUAUACAAAUGCCCCAUUAGCACAUGGGAAGAUGUUCAACAUUAAUCACUAGGAAAGUGAAAAUACAAACCACAAUGAGAAACCACUUUACAACCACUAAGACCUCUAUUAUCCAAAAGGUAAAUAAGUAAUGUCAGCCAGUGUGUAGAGAAAUUAAAACUCUUCCACACUGCAGAUGGGAAAUAGUCUAGCACUACCCCAGAACAACCGAGAUGCUCACCAACUGAUAAAUGGGUGAACCAAAUGUGUGACAUUCUAUUCAAUAAAAUGUAGACAUACAAUAAAGAAAUGGAGUACUAAUACAUACCAGACCAUGGAUAAACCUGCAGAACAUUAUGCUAAGUGAAAUAAUCCAGUCAUAAAAGACCACUUACAUGGUUCCAUUUACGUGAAACACCAAGAGUAGGCAAAUCCUUCCAAACAAACAGUACAUGAGUGGCUCCAAGGGCAGAUGCAGGGAGAGCGGAGCAACUGCUCCUGGCUGUGGGGUUUUGGGCAGUCAUGAAGAUGUUCUGAAAUUGAUUGUGGUCAUGGUUGUCGAUCUCUGUGAAUAUGCUACAAACUAUAAAGCUGUACACUUUAAACAGGAAAAUGGUAUGGUUCCAUGAAUUAUAUCUCAAUAAAACCGUUUGGAUCAGAUAAAAUAUUUUUAAUAGUGGGGAGAUGGAAGCCAAUCCAAGAAAACUGCAUUAGCAGAGUGGAAUGCUGAAAGCCCUUGUAUCCAAAAGAGAGGAUU